rnacentral:SRP_RNA from 1 species
GCCGGGUGCGGUGGCUCACGCCUGUAAUCCCAGCACUUUGGGAGGCCGAGACGGGUGGAUCACCUGAGGUCAGGAGUUCUAGACCUGCCUGACCAACAUGGUGAAAGCCCAUCUCUA